UCGCGGCUUAUCACCGGCAGUCCCCCUAGAGUGCCCAACUGAAUGAUGGCAACUAGGGGCGAGGGUUGCGCUCGUUGCGGGACUUAACCCAACAUCUCACGACACGAGCUGACGACAGCCAUGCAGCACCUGUGUUCCGGACUCCGAAGAGAGGGUCACAUCUCUGCGACCGGUCCCGGACAUGUCAAGGGCUGGUAAGGUUCUGCGCGUUGCGUCGAAUUAAACCACAUGCUCCACCGCUUGUGCAGGCCCCCGUCAAUUUCUUUGAGUUUUAACCUUGCGGCCGUACUCCCCAGGCGGGGAACUUAAUGCGUUAGCUGCGGCACGGACCUCGUGGAAUGAGACCCACACCUAGUUCCCAACGUUUACGGCAUGGACUAC
rnacentral:misc_RNA from 1 species